GUGGGGAAUCUUGCGCAAUGGGCGAAAGCCUGACGCAGCCAUGCCGCGUGAAUGAUGAAGGUCUUAGGAUUGUAAAAUUCUUUCACCGGGGACGAUAAUGACGGUACCCGGAGAAGAAGCUCCGGCUAACUUCGUGCCAGCAGCCGCGGUAAUACGAAGGGGGCUAGCGUUGCUCGGAAUUACUGGGCGUAAAGGGCGCGUAGGCGGACAGCUUAGUCAGAGGUGAAAGCCCAAGGCUCAACCUUGGAAUUGCCUUUGAUACUGGCUGUCUUGAGUUUGGGAGAGGUGAGUGGAACUCCGAGUGUAGAGGUGAAAUUCGUAGAUAUUCGGAAGAACACCAGUGGCGAAGGCGACUCACUGGCCCAAUACUGACGCUGAGGCGCGAAAGCGUGGGGAGCAAACAGGAUUAGAUACCCUUGUAGUCC
rnacentral:rRNA from 1 species